GCCUUGUUCAUCUAGUGGUUAGGAUAUCAGCUUGUGGUUCCUGCAAGUCGCUGAAAACGCUGGUUCGAUUCCAGCACAGGGCA